AGAGGGGUGGAUGCUCAGUCAUGCCCAUGCUGCCAGCCAGCCAGGCCGGCCGGGGAGCUCCCACUUUCUCUCUCUAGGACCCUGGCGCCAACACUGCAAACAGAUAGAUGAGAGACAGACUCUGCUGGUAUAUUGAACUGCAACCCUGGGAGCUAAAUUCUAGAGUGCUUUGAUGAACUCCAGACUGCUGAAUAACAGUAUCAUGAAUGGUUCCUGUGCCCCAAGCAUAGCUGAAGCAAAUGGAUUCACAAAUCAAGGCAGUUUGGGGCAGACGACUUUGGAUUGCAGCAUAUUGUCAAAUAGAAGAUGAGUUUUAAAGGUGACCGCCAAAAGAAAAUCAAAGAUGCUUGUGUGAUUUUUGACUUCAUCAUGGUAUAUGAAAGGUUAGAAAGGUUUUGUUCCCAAAAAUGUUUUUUAUUCUCCUUUAUUUUAGCUUUAGAAAUAUAAAGAAUGUCAUGUUGUCCUUCCUAGUUUUGCUGGACAACUAGAGAACAGGAGUAGGAGUUUUCUCAGCUCAUGAGUGAAGAAGGGAAGGGUAUUGAGACUUCCACAAAGAAAUAUUUUCUACUACCUGUUUGUCAAGAAUUUUCCUAAUGUAUUAAAGUGACAUUACCAAAAUUAAAAACAAGGACAAAAAUUUCUGCUCAGCACAGCAAAAGAGAGAAAAGGUACUAGGGAGCCUGUUGUGGAUCUGUCUCAGCCCCAGAGUAGGUAAGAGUUGUCAAGAGUGCCCAAAGGACUAUUCCAAGAAGGGAUAGCAGUAGCGCAGUGCGCUCCAGCCUCACCCUAUCCUGACAGCUUCCUACCUCUUAUGCUUGGGUAGAGAGGGUCGACAACUGCUCAGGAACUGGAUGUGCCAGGCAAGCACCAGCUGAGAGCUACCCUAUGCUGGGGGUAUUCUCACCAGGCCAGAUCCAUUUGCUUUUUUUUCUUCAGGGCAGCACAAAGGGGCCAGAAUUCAUCAGAGAAUCUACCCCAAGAAGUUUUAAAUGGUCUGACUACAAAUUCCUUGACCCUCUAAAUUGUUCGGGUUUCACUCUUUGUACAUGUGAUAUUACAAUCUUACUAGGAGUCCAAUGGUUCAUAGUGUCUUCCAGGAAAAACAGGGUAGGCAAGACCUGAAAUGCAAAUAUAAAAAGCUAUACAGAAAGGAAAAACAUACAGCCUACUCCACUCCCCCAAAAAAUCAACCCUCUACUUUUCAAGCUUUCUUUACCCAACAUAUAGAAGCAAUAAAUAAAUGGCACACACUUUUAUCCUCUCUCGGUUACCUUUAAAGUGUACCUAUUAAAAAAAAAAUUCUUAUUUUAAUAUCUUCCUGCAGAGAUGCUAUCUAACCCCAAGGGCCUCCUUUACAUAACACAUUAGUUUUCUUUAUGGCCUAUGUGGAAAACAGUGUUAGUAAAACUGACAUUUAUAAUCUGAUACUUAAAUAUGCCACACACCUCAUUAACUCUUUAUCAACUUGCAGCCAAAUGUUCAAAACACGAAAACAAGAAUGAAAUUUCAUGUCAUAGGUAACAUCUUUUAAUAGUACCCACAUCCUAAUCUCAUGGUCAAAUCCCCAAUUGAUUUCCUAAAUAAAAAGCAGAAGUACAAGUGAACAGUGUAGCAGGAUUUGAGCAGACCUUAGGGAGGUGACCUGAAUUGUAUGGAAGAGCAUGAUGAAAUGCUUCUUUUUAACCAUGAAAGAAACUUUAGUAUAUUGGCAGGUAGAAUCUACUUGGGAACAUCAAGAAAUAUUUGGAGGUGUUUCAAUAUACUUAUUGUGAUGUGCUCCAAUAGUGCGCCAUCACAGAAAAGCCUAAAAACAAAUUAUUUUGACAUGAUCUUUUAAAAGGUCUUUGCUACAAACAAGAAGGCAUUUUGGAAGAUAACUUUUGUGUCCAAGCAGGCAUUACCAAAACUUUUGCACAUAGAAUGUAAUGUUCUCAGUUUUAAGUGACUACUGCUGUUGGGUUUGAUCAGCUUAAGUUUACAACAGCACUGUGUACACAUUUGUAUCAUGAGAAUAUAUUGCAUUACACUCUGUAAUAUACUGUUGAAAGAUACUACUAUCCUUGUACUGCAUUAUUUGUGCAUCUUGCAAGCAUGAGAUGAAAGACAGUGAUUCAAAACCGACUUUCACUUUUUCACAAAAAUAUACCACUAUGGUAUAAUAAAUGUCUCUGAAAGGAGUGACACAUAAGACAUAAAUGUUCUAUAUUCGUAUGUCUCUCAAAAUCCAAUAAGCCAAUUAAAAUCAUUAUAGUUUGGGGAGUAAUUGGAUCCAAACAAGUGCAGCAACAAAGUGAACCAAGUUAAUACAGUGAGAAGGACUCUGUUUACAAGCAACAUCAAGCUCCAAUUAAUUUUUUAGGUUCAGUCUCCAAUAACCUACAACUACAACUUUUCAAGUGACAAGUCUCUGAACACUGAAUCCAGAAUUUUCUAGGUCUUAAAGACACAGUAAUCUAAGUCACUACUGUCCUUAUACUACAGUAAGUAUUGUAUUGGCACACUCCUAAGGAUCUGUGUCUAUAACUUUGUUCCUUUUCUCCCAGGCCAAGUCUGUUCUUAAGGAUUCAGGUCCAUAUAUGAUUCUCAAAUACCUAGCUGCAUUCCAAAACAAGGGGUUUCUAAUCUCCCAUUCCUUCUCAUCCUAUAGAGGCAUUACACAAAACAUUCAGCUUAUUUUUGAAUAGCAGAAGUGAGAAAAAGUCCAUUUGUUAUUGAGGCCAGGUUUACACUCAAAAGUUAAAUUGACCAGCUAUGUUGCCUAGGGGUGUGAAAAAUCCACACCCAUGAGCAAUGUAGUUAAGAUGACCCAACCCUCAGUGUAGAUGGCACUAGGUUAACAGAAGAACCCUUGUGUCAGUCAAGGUACUGCACCUCGGGGAGGUGAAUUAACUAGGGCAAUGGGAGAACUCCUCCCAUUGCUGUAAUGAGUGGCAAUGCUGAGGUGCUACAGCUGUGCCGCUGUAGCAUUUUAAGUGUAGACAUAGCCCUACUUAGAUUUGAAAAAAUAGAGAGGGAUGCACAGGAGGGAGAAUGAAUGAAAAGCAGCACCCCAAAAGGCCUCCCCCUGGAAACUAGUUGCUAACAGAAUAAGAAAAUCCAGAGUAGCAGAGACAAAUGUGUUGUGAUGUUUCCUUUUAAGCUAAGGCAAAUAUGUUUAUGCCAGAAAAUCAUCUGUGAUUGAAGUGUGGUUGCAGAUAAGUGCCAAAGGGAUGGUUUCAGUCUCUUGGAAACACUCAUGACCACACAAUGGGUUGUGUGUGCUGGAUGCUGUCAAGGCCUGCGAUCAUACAACACACACAAGUAUACUAGAAUCCAGUAAGUUCCCUCUCAGGCUGAUCCACUUCACUAGUCAGUCACUCAUAAGAGUAUCCGUUUUCUCCCCUCUGCUAAAUGGAAUGAGUGGAGCAGAGCUCUGGGCUAUCAGCAAACAACAAGGCUUACUGACAGCAUUGCUGUGCUAGGCCCUGCCUUCAUACUUUUCCUUUCUAUAGCACCUGUCAUUUGAGGGAUAAAGUAGUAGUAUUUUAAUCACUAAGAGUGAAAUUCACCCCAGUGCAGAGGGUCCAGUUUCAUCCUAAGGUAAAAGAGAGGUUAAGGAUCAGAUUGUUAAAGGUGUUUAGGCACCUAAAGAUGCAGAUAGGUGCCUGGUGGGAUUUUCAAGAGUGAUUUCUGUGGGAGCGAGGUGCCAAGAUGCUUUUGAAAAUUUCACUGGGCACCUCUCUACAUAGGAGCAUAUCUUUAAAUACAGAAAUGUAUAAAAUGAGUGACUGCGUUGGAGAGAUUUAUACAACCUGCUGUGUAAUGUGUUCCAAAUCUUUUACCAUGCAAAUGUAAGAUGAGGCCUGUGGUGGUGUAAAGGUUGUAACUUACUGUUAUUAUCUCAUAUUGACAUGCAGUAUUUUAUAAGAGGCACCAUUUGCAUGUAAAAAACCAACUUGUUCUUUUAUCCAGAAAGAUUUGAAGCUAUUUUUUUAAAAAAUUAUUUUGAGAAACACUGAGCAAAUGUAUUUGGUACUUUUGCUGGUAAAACUCCAGUGACUGAUUGAUUUGGGGGGUUUAAAAUUAAUGUGAGAUACCAUACUAAACUAGAAUUUCAACAGCAUAACUGCAAAGAAGCUGCAUGGGAAGUGCCAAGACCUAAUAAGAGCCAUUUCAUCACCUCUGCAUAGUUUCCUUCCUUUCUUAUAUGAACUAUUAUAUUAAAACUUUAUUUUUUAAACAUG